rnacentral:rRNA from 1 species
UACAGAGGUCUCAAGCGUUGUUCGGAUUCAUUGGGCGUAAAGCGUGUGUAGGCGGCCGCGCAAGUCGGAUGUGAAAUCCCGGGCUCAACCCCGGGAAGGGCACCCGAAACUGCACGGCUCGAGUACCGGAGAGGUUGGUGGAAUUCUCCGGUGUAGAGGUGAAAAUUCGUAGAUAUCGAGAGGAACACCGGUGGCGAAGGCGGCCAACUGGACGAGUACUGACGCUGAGACACGAAAGCGUGGGGAGCAAACAGG